GACGUAGGGCGCGAGCGUUGUCCGGAUUUAUUGGGCGUAAAGAGCUCGUAGGCGGCUUGUCGCGUCGACUGUGAAAUCCCGCGGCUCAACUGCGGGUCUGCAGUCGAUACGGGCAGGCUAGAGUUCGGUAGGGGAGACUGGAAUUCCUGGUGUAGCGGUGAAGUGCGCAGAUAUCAGGAGGAACACCGGUGGCGAAGGCGGGUCUCUGGGCCGAUACUGACGCUGAGGAGCGAAAGCGUGGGGAGCGAACAGG
rnacentral:rRNA from 1 species